GUGUCAGCCGCCGCGGUAAUACGGAGGGUGCAAGCGUUAAUCGGAAUAACUGGGCGUAAAGCGCACGCAGGCGGUUAGAUAAGUCAGAUGUGAAAUCCCCGGGCUCAACCUGGGAACUGCAUUUGAAACUGUCUGACUAGAGUCUUGUAGAGGGGGGUAGAAUUCCAGGUGUAGCGGUGAAAUGCGUAGAGAUCUGGAGGAAUACCGGUGGCGAAGGCGGCCCCCUGGACAAAGACUGACGCUCAGGUGCGAAAGCGUGGGGAGCAAACAGGAUUAGAAACCCGGGUAGUCC
rnacentral:rRNA from 1 species